rnacentral:rRNA from 1 species
GAUUGAACGCUGUCGGCAGGCUUAACACAUGCAAGUCGAACGGUAACAUUUCUAGCUUGCUAGAAGAUGACGAGUGGCGGACGGGUGAGUAAUGCUUGGGUAUAUGCCAAAACGUGGGGGACAACAGUUGGAAACGACUGCUAAUACCGCAUAAUGUCUUCGGACCAAAGUAGGGGACCUUCGGGCCUUACGCGUUUUGAUUAGCCCAAGUGGGAUUAGCUAGUUGGUAAGGUAAUGGCUUACCAAGGCGACGAUCCCUAGCUGGUCUUAGAGGAUGACCAGCCACACUGGAACUGAGACACGGUCCAGACUCCUACGGGAGGCAGCAGUGGGGAAUAUUGCACAAUGGGGGAAACCCUGAUGCAGCCAUGCCGCGUGUGUGAAGAAGGCUUUCGGGUUGUAAAGCACUUUCAGCGAGGAGGAAAGGGUUGUAGUUAAUAACUGCAAUCUGUGACGUUACUCGCAGAAGAAGCACCGGCUAACUCCGUGCCAGCAGCCGCGGUAAUACGGAGGGUGCAAGCGUUAAUCGGAAUUACUGGGCGUAAAGCGCGCGUAGGUGGUUGAUUAAGUCAGAUGUGAAAGCCCAGGGCUCAACCCUGGAACUGCAUUUGAAACUGGUUAACUAGAGUUUUGUAGAGGGUGGUAGAAUUUCAGGUGUAGCGGUGAAAUGCGUAGAGAUCUGAAGGAAUACCAGUGGCGAAGGCGGCCACCUGGACAAAGACUGACACUGAGGCGCGAAGGCGUGGGGAGCAAACGGGAUUAGAUACCCCGGUAGUCCACGCAGUAAACGAUGUCUAUUAGAAGUUUGUGGCUAUAUGCCGUGGGUUUCAAAGCUAACGCAUUAAAUAGACCG